rnacentral:rRNA from 1 species
UGGGGAAUAUUGCACAAUGGGCGCAAGCCUGAUGCAGCCAUGCCGCGUGUAUGAAGAAGGCCUUCGGGUUGCAAAGUACUUUCAGCGGGGAGGAAGGGAGUAAAGUUAAUACCUUUGCUCAUUGACGUUACCCGCAGAAGAAGCACCGGCUAACUCCGUGCCAGCAGCCGCGGUAAUACGGAGGGUGCAAGCGUUAAUCGGAAUUACUGGGCGUAAAGCGCACGCAGGCGGUUUGUUAAGUCAGAUGUGAAAUCCCCGGGCUCAACCUGGGAACUGCAUCUGAUACUGGCAAGCUUGAGUCUCGUAGAGGGGGGUAGAAUUCCAGGUGUAGCGGUGAAAUGCGUAGAGAUCUGGAGGAAUACCGGUGGCGAAGGCGGCCCCCUGGACGAAGACUGACGCUCAGGUGCGAAAGCGUGGGGAGCAAACA